rnacentral:misc_RNA from 1 species
AACCUCACCCCCUCUGGGUUUUUAACCUGGUCUGUGGUGGAUUGGGCGCCUGCCGUCACUGGCUCGCCUGAAAAGCAUAAGCACCUUGGAUGUAAUACGUUUCAUCCUUUCGGGUGGCUGACAACCCCACAUACUUCAUG